AGCGUAGACGGCAAGGCAAGUCUGAUGUGAAAACCCAGGGCUUAACCCUGGGACUGCAUUGGAAACUGUCUGGCUCGAGUGCCGGAGAGGUAAGCGGAAUUCCUAGUGUAGCGGUGAAAUGCGUAGAUAUUAGGAGGAACAUCAGUGCGAAGGCGGCUUACUGGACUGAAACUGACACUGAGGCACGAAAGCGUGGGAAGGCAAACCAG
rnacentral:rRNA from 1 species